AAGAAUUACUCCACCCGGAAAACCGGGGAUGUUACAAUGGAUUCCUCAUUAAUAAGAAACAUUGGCAUCUCUGCACACAUUGAUUCCGGUAAAACUACCCUAACAGAACGUCUCCUGUAUUAUACUGGAAAACUGGCUGAAAUGCACGAAGUCCGAGGAAGAGAUAAUGUCGGAGCCAAGAUGGACUUCAUGGAAUUAGAAAAACAGCGUGGAAUCACCAUCCAGUCUGCCGCGACGUAUGUGAACUGGAAAGGUACAAACAUAAACAUUAUUGACACUCCUGGCCAUGUUGAUUUCACUGUGGAAGUUGAGCGUGCUCUUCGUGUGCUGGACGGUGCUGUGCUUGUGCUGUGUGCUGUUGGGGGAGUGCAAAGUCAGACAAUUACAGUGAAUAGACAGAUGAAAAGAUAUAAUGUGCCGUGUCUGGCCUUCAUCAACAAAUUGGAUAGAUUGGGGUCUAAUCCAGUUCGUGUAUUAACUCAACUCAGAUCCAAGCUAAAUCACAAUGCAGAGUUUCUACAGUUGCCUAUUGGCUUAGAGAAGGAUCAGCAAGGAGUUGUCGAUCUCAUCGAACAAAAAGCUCUCUACUUUGAUGAACCUUGUGGGUUAACAAUCAUUGAAGAUGAAAUCCCAGCUCAUCUGAGAACUGAAGCUAAGGAGAGAAGACAACGACUGAUAGAGUCUGUGUCUAAUGUGGAUGACAUACUGGGAGAGAUGUUUCUGGAGGAGAAAGAACCAACUAAUGAUGAUAUCAAGGCUGCUGUUCGGAGAGCCUGUAUCAAGAGGGCCUUCACCCCUGUCUUGAUGGGUACUGCUUUAAAGAACAAGGGGGUGCAGCCAUUGUUGAAUGCAGUGUUAGACUACCUUCCCAACCCAACAGAAGUCCACAAUAUAUGUCUCGACAAUGAAAAACUAGAUGAAAAUGGGAAUCCAACAAAAAUUACCCUCAGCUCAGAGAGAAGCACAGAUAACCCAUUCGUUGGACUUGCAUUUAAAUUAGAGGCUGGUAAGUUUGGUCAGCUGACAUACAUGAGGGUUUACCAGGGAGGAAUGAAAAAAGGAGACACCAUAUUCAACACGAGGAACAACAAAAAAGUGCGGGUGUCCAGACUAGUCAGAAUGAAUGCUGAUGAAAUGGAGGAUAUAUCUGAAGCGUAUGCCGGUGACAUCUGUGCUCUGUUUGGUGUGGACUGUGCUGGGGGAGACACAUUUGUCAACAAAGGAAGCAUGCAGCUAUCACUGGAGUCCAUGUAUGUCCCAGACCCAGUCAUCUCCAUGUCAAUCAAACCUGUCAACAAACAGGACCUGGACAACUUCUCCAAGGGCGUGGCCCGCUUCACCAAGGAGGAUCCAACAUUUAGGGUGGCCUUUGACCCCGAGCUAGGGGAAACAAUAGCCACUGGAAUGGGAGAACUACAUCUGGAUAUCUAUGCCCAGAGACUUGAAAGGGAGUACAAAGCAAAAUGUGUUCUAGGAAAGCCCAAGGUCUCGUUCCGGGAGACAUUGAUCAAUCCAUGCAGUUUUGAUUACUGGCACAAGAAGCAGUCUGGUGGAAGAGGAGAGUACGCCAGAGUGAUAGGAACUGUGGAGCCCUUGCCUCCUGAGGAGAACACAAAACUGAUCUUUGUUGACAAGACUACAGGAACCAAUGUACCAAAGAGCUAUAUCCCAGCAAUAGAGAGGGGGUUCAGGAAAUGUUAUGAAAAGGGACCAUUAGCUGAACAAAGGGUAUCUGGAGUUCUAAUCACAUUAAAAGAUGGUGAUUCCCACAGUGUGGACAGUAGCGACUGGGCCUUUGAACAAGCAGCCUUCCAAGCAGGCCUAGAUACCUACACCUAUGACUGGGCAAUGUUGGAGCCCAUUAUGACUGUAGAAGUGAAUGCUCCACAGGAGUACCAAGGAUCAGUGCUGGCAGGACUGACCAAGAGGAAUGCUAUAUUUUUGGGGACAGAUUCCAAUGAGGGAUACUUUACUUCUUACUGUGAGGUUCCAUUAAACAUGAUGUUUGGGUACUCCACUGAGCUGAGAACCCAGACCCAGGGGCAAGGUGAGUUCACCAUGGAGUACAGUAAAUACUGCCCUGCCUCCGAGGAAACCAUGCGACAGCUGACGGAGAGCACGAACACCGACAACAAGGACACUCAGGAGAAGAAGAGGAAGAGAAAUUGACAGCCCUGUGUCUAGUGUUUUUGUUAAUGUUAUUUAUUGAGAGGAGAAGUGAUGUUGCAAGAUUUGAAGACAAAACUUUUAGAGAAAAGUGAUGAUGAUUGUGAUAUUCCGUGAAUGACGGUGUAUAUAAUAAAAUUUUAAAAAGCC
rnacentral:misc_RNA from 1 species